rnacentral:lncRNA from 1 species
AGGAUUAUGGGCAUGAGCCACUGUGUGCAAUCUGAUUUUAGAUUUCAAGCAGUAUAGGACAAAAUUGAGAGAACCAUUUGGCAAUAAAAAAUAUUAAAACUGAGUUUUGCAGAGAAGGGCAUGAUCUGUAUAUCCACUAUUAAAAACCAUUCAACUGAAUAUAUUUCCAUGGCCAUCACACCAUUAUUAAAACCUCUGAAAAGACUAACAUGUACCAGAGUAAAGAUCCACAUAAGACAUGUGUAUUAGUCAGGGUUCUCAAGAGAGACAGAAACAAUAGGAUAUAUGUAUAUAUAAACCGAAGUUUAUUAAGAAUUGGCUCACACAAUUAGAAGGUGAAGUCCCAUGAUGACUGUCUGCAAGCUGGAGGAGAGAAGCCAGUUGUGUGUCUCAGUCCAAGUCCAAAACCCUUAAAACCAGGGAAGCUGACAAUGCAGCCCUGAGUUUGAGGCCAAAGGCUCAAGACUCACUGAGUGGCCACUGGUGCAAGUCCCAGAGUCCAAAGGCUGAAGAGCCUGGAGUCUGAUGUCCAAGGGCAGCAGGAAAGGAAGUGAGCAUCUGGCAUGGGAAGAAGAAAUAGAUUCAGAAGACUAAGCAAGCAAAUGAAUCCCACCUUCCUUUGCCUACUUUGUUCUAGUCAUGCUGGCAGCGGAUUGGAUGGUGCCACUCACACUGAGGGUGGGUCUAUUUCUCCCAGUCUACUGACUCAAAUGUCAAUCUACUCUGGCAACACCCUCACGGACGUACCCAGAAACAAUGUUUCACCAGCCCUAUAGGCAUCCCUCAAUCCAGUCAAGUUGAUAUCUAAUAAUAACCAUCACAAUAUGUCUUGAAGGGAACCACGAAUGUGGCUGUUGGUACCUGGAACUUUCUGAAAUCCAAUGCUAAGAAGUAGAUUAAGUUGUUGUAAGAGGUGUACCUCCAAAGGAAUCACCAGACUGAAUUAAAAGAGAUUCCAAGUAUUAAAGACUUAAAAGAACCCUUGGAUCACCAAACUUUUAGGGUGGGAAGUGGCCUGAGAAAGCUGUAUGGACAUCAAGCAAAAUGUAUUCCCCGAUGCCUACUUCAGAUGUGUCAAAGAGUAUGAUGGGAAAGAAAGCUAGGGCCAUGGAGGAUUAUGGAGAAUGAGGCUUCUUGCAGAGAGCAUAUUUAAGGACUGAGCUGACAUCCUCAGACCUAGGGUAGACCUCCCAAUAUCGGUUCAAGCUAUUUCAGAGUUGCUAAAGGCCAGUGUCUGCUGUAUAUCUCCCAUUUUUCCUCUUUCCAAACAGGAAUGUUUGCUGGAGUCAUCUGUUCCCUGUUUCAUCUUUGUAAGUUAGGUGUGUGUGGGGUAGGUAACUUGUCUUUUUACUGCAUAACUCUCCAGAACAAGAGGAGCCAUAUCCAGGCCCAGUUUAGUGACUGGUUAUCACCUGAACAGGCUGAAUUGUGUCCCCUCAAAUUCAUAUGUUGGGGCCCUAACCUCCAGUGCAUUUGGAGACAGGGCCUUUAGGAGGUCAUUAAGAUGAAGUAAGGUCAUAAGUUGGGGGGCCCUGAUCCAAUAGGACUGGUGUCUUUAUAAGAAGAGGAAGAGACACCAGUAAUGCAUGCACACAGAAAAACAGGCCAUGUGAGGACACGGUGAGAAUAUGGCCAUCUGCAAGCUAAGAAGAGUGGCCCCAGGAGAAACCAAGCCUGAAGAUACCUUGAUCUUGGACUUCCACCCUCCAAAAUUUUGAGAAAUAAAGUUUUAUUAAGCUGCUUGGUUUGUGGUAUUUUGUUAUGGGGGCCCUAGCAAACUAACAUGCUCCUGAUGAAGAUAGUACCAUGCAUUACCCAGAGGUACUUGAUCCAUGACUGAAUGAGACUUUUGAGCUGUCUCUCCUGGGGAGAGAAUAAAUGACUUUUGCUCAAGAAAGAAACACUGAACUGAUCAUUUGGUAACUGGAGAGGUGGAUUGUAGCUACAUGAGGACUCCAGACAUUCACCGAUAUUCCAGCAUGGCAGGAUUAUACUUCCGUGUCCCCUUGGAUGGAUAUAGGAAUGGUCAUGUGGCUCACUUGGCCAAUUAAAUGUGAGCAGAAAUGACAGGUGUUUCUUCUAGGCAGAAUCAAUCCCUUAAGAGCUAAAGCACAAUUUGCCAUGUUCCCUUCCUCCUGUCACUGCAAUCUGUGACAUUCCAGAUGGCAGAGUGUGAGCCAGCCUAUGUUCCUGAAUGCAGAUGACAUGGAGCAGAGUUCCAGCCAAUCUGCAAUAGUUGUGGGCAUGGGUGAGAAAUAAUGUUUAAAGUUAAUGAAUUUUUGGAAUUGUUUAUUACUGUGGCAUAAUCUAGUCUAUUUUGACUGAUCUAAUCAAUAAUAAUGGUAGGGAAAAUUUCCAAAAUCCUCAUAGAAUUCAGUUGUAUGGUGUGAUCAAUUAAUUCAAUGUAUUGGGUUUUGUCCUUCAGUAAAUAAAGAAGUAGAGCUGACAUCC